AUGGACAUACCUCUGGUGUACCAGUUGUCGUGCCAACGGCAUAGCUGGGUAGCUAUGUAUGGACGGGAUAAGUGCUGAAAGCAUCUAAGCAUGAAGCCCCCCUCAAGAUGAGAUUUCCCAACUUCGGUUAUAAGAUCCCUCGAAGAUGACGAGGUUAAUAGGUUCGAGGUGGAAGCGUGGUGACACGUGGAGCUGACGAAUACUAAUCGAUCGAAGACUUAAUCAA
rnacentral:rRNA from 3 species